rnacentral:rRNA from 1 species
AUUGAACGCUGCGGCAUGCUUUACACAUGCAAGUCGGACGGCAGCACAGAGAAGCUUGCUUCUUGGGUGGCGAGUGGCGAACGGGUGAGUAAUAUAUCGGAACGUACCGAGUAAUGGGGGAUAACUAAUCGAAAGAUUAGCUAAUACCGCAUAUUCUCUGAGGAGGAAAGCAGGGGACCUUUGGGCCUUGCGUUAUUCGAGCGGCCGAUAUCUGAUUAGCUAGUUGGUGGGGUAAAGGCCUACCAAGGCGACGAUCAGUAGCGGGUCUGAGAAGAUGAUCCGCCACACUGGGACUGAGACACGGCCCAGACUCCUACGGGAGGCAGCAGUGGGGAAUUUUGGACAAUGGGCGCAAGCCUGAUCCAGCCAUGCCGCGUGUCUGAAGAAGGCCUCCGGGUUGUAAAGGACUUUUGUCAGGGAAGAAAAGGCUGUUGCUAAUAUCGACAGCUGAUGACGGUACCUAAGAAUAAGC